GGCAUGGCUGGGGAGGCCUCAGGAAACUUACAAUCAUGGCAGAAGGUGACAGGGAUGCCAGCACGUCUUCACAUGGUGGCAGGUGAGAGACAGAACGAAGGCGGAGGUGCUACACACUUUUAAAAGAAGCAGGUCUCAUGAGAAUUCCAUCACAAGACAGCACUAGAAGGAUGGUGCUAAACCACUAGAAACCACCCUUAUGAUUCACCUUUCACCAGGCCCCACCUCCAACACUCAGUAUCACAAUUCAACAUGAGAUUUGGGUAAGUACACAGAACCAAACCAUAUCAUUUUGCACCUGGCCUUUACCAAAUGUCAUGUCCUUUUCACGUUUCAAAAAACAAUUAUGCCUUCCCAAGAAUCCUCCAAAUUCUUAACUCGUUCCAGAAUUAACUCAAAAGUCCCAGUCCAAAGUCUCAUCUGAGACAAGGCAAGUACUACUCCUCUGCCUAUGAGCCUGUAAAAUAAAGAAACAAGUUAGUUAGUUCCAAGAUACAGUGCAGGUACAGGCAUCGAGUAAAUGCUCCCAUUCCAAAAGGGAGAAAUUGGCCAAAACAAAGGGGCUAUAGGCCUCUUGCAAGCAAAACCCAGGAAGGCAGUCAUUUAAUCUCCAAGCUCCAAAAUACUCUCCUUUGACUCCAUGUCUCACAUCCAAGGCACACUGAUGCAAGGGGUGGGCUCCCAAGGCCUUGGGCAGCUCUGCCUCUGUGGCUUUGCAGGGUACAACCCCCAAAGCUACUUUCAUGGGCUGGGAUUGAGUGCCUGCAGCUUUUUCAGGCGAACAGUGCAUGCUGUCAGUGGAUCUAUCAUCCUGGGGUCUGGAAGAUGGUGGCUCUCUUCUCACAGCUCCAUUAGGCAGUGCCCCAGUGGGAACUUGGUGGGAGCUCCAACCCCACAUUUCACCUUCACACUGCCCUUGUAGAGGUUCUUCAUGAGGGAUCCAGUCCUGCAGCAGACUUCUGCCUGGACAUCCGGGUGUUUCCAUACAUCCUCUGAAAUCUAGGCAGAGGCUCCCAAGUCUCAACUCUUGCCCUUUGCAUACCCACAGGCCCAACACCAUAGGGAAGCCAUCAAGACUUGGGGCUUACACCCUCUGAAGCAAUGACCUGAGCUGUACUGUGGCCCCUUUUAGCCAUGGCUGAAACGGGAGCAGCUGGGAUGCAGGGCACCAUGUCCCAAGGCUGCACAGAGCAGUAAGGCCCUGGACCUGGCCCACGAAACCAUUUCUCCCUCCUAGGCCUCUGGGCCUGUAAUAGGAAGGGCUGCUAUGAAGGUCUCUGAAAUGUCUUAGAGGGAUUUUCCCCAUUGUCUUGGCUAUUAAUAUUUGGCUCCUUUUUACUUAUGUAAAUUUCUGCAGCUGGCUUGAAUUACUUCCCAGAAAAUAGGUUUUUCUUUUCUACUACAUGGCAGGUUGAAAAUUUUCCAAGCUUUUAUACUCUGCUUUCCUUUUAAAUAUAAGUUCCAAUAUCAAACCACCUCUUCGGAAAUGCAUAUGAGCAUAUGCUGUUAGAAGCAGCCAGGUCACUUCUUGAAUGCUUUGCUGCUUUGAAAUUUCUUCCACCAGAUACUCUAAAUAAUCUCUCUCAAGUUCAAAGUUUCACAGAUCCCUAGAGCAGGGGCACAAUGCCACCAGUCUCUUUGCUGAAGCAUAGCAAGAAUGACCUUUACUCCAGUUCCCAAUAAGUUCCUCAUCUCCCUCUAAGACCUCCUUGGCCUGGACUUCAUUGUCCAUAUCUCACUAUCAGUAUUUUGGUCAAAGCCAUUCAACAAGUCUCUAGGAAGUUCCAAACUUUCCCUUAUCUUCUUGUCUUCUUCUGAGCCUUCCAAACUGUUCCAACCUCUGCCCAUCCAAAGCUGCUUCCACAUUUUCAGGUAUCUUUUGUAGCAAUGCCCCACUUCUCUGAUACCAAUUUCCUAUAUUAGUCCAUUCUCACACUGCUAUAAAGAACUAUCUGAGACUGGGUAAUCUAUGAAGAAAAGAGGUUUAAUUGACUCACAAUUCUGCAGGCUGUACAGGAGGCAUGGCUGGGGAGGCCUCAGAAAACUUACAAUCAUGGCAGAAGGUGAAGGGGAAGCCAGCACAUCUUCAUAUGAUGGCAGGAACUUUAUAUGUUAUAGAAGUUAGCCCCAAGAAUGAAAUCGUGUCCUUUGCCAAAACAUGGAUGGAGCUAGAGGCCUUUAUCCUAAGGUGCUCUAUGCUUAGCCCAUCAUAGAUUGUGGCCCUUCAUUCCUGCAUUUGAUGAAUCCAGGGAACCCUCUCUCCAACACCCUUGGCCUCUCUGCAACUUUCUAACAUCAGGCAGAGUCAGAGGCACCAUCCCCAGAAGCUACAAAUCUUCAGCAUUCUCCACUCUGUGAAGUCAGAGGAAUGGCGGGACCAUAGCUCUGAGCUCAUUGGCAAAUACAACUAAUUUCAAUUUCUGGAAUGGAAGCAGUCAGAUAUUCUUCUGACUGCACGCGUAUGUGGGAGUGCCAUGUUGAAGAGUGGAAAAUAUGGAAGAUCAGUCCCUACAAACUUAAUAGGAGAAUGACAUUCAGAUUUCCCGAGUAUUUUGCAUGUCCAACUGAAAACUGAAGUAGGUUUAUGAGAGAAUGCACGCCUACCUGGAUGGGUCUGGGGAGUGUGUCACUGUCACCGCAGAUAAUUGACAAGGGCUGAUCAAAUAGCGAUGCUUUCAAGUCUGUCUCCAAAGCCCCAGAAAAAUCUGAUGCAGGGGAGAGCCUUCUCAUGAGAAAGGGCCAGGACAGCACCUUCUUUCUCUUCUUAACUUCUACAGCCAAGAAAACAAGGCAACGAGAAAAAUUAGACUACAGUGUUAAGAAGCAAAGAUCCAGGUGACUGGUCACCUUGGGUUUUCCAGGUUGCUGCUUUAGGACAGAGGCAAAUACGAAUCGCUGCGGGAAGCCUUGAACCUAGAUCUGGCAACUGGGAAUUAUCAGCAAAACGUUAUCAAGAUAUUCUGUCCUUCUGAAAUCCACAAGAUGUGUGUGCAAUGGAUAUUGCAAUCUCAAACAUUUCCUUCUUUCUUUUCUUUUCCUUCCUUCCUUCCUUCUCCUUUCUUACUAAUUAUAAAGGCUAUAUUUUCUAAAUGCAUUGGCAUCUGUUUCUAUACAUUUCAGAUUGGCAAGUGGAAGCAUGAUGAGAAAGAAGUGGCCUGUCUUUAUGGUUCAGGAGAACUGGGUCAGGGUUACGCUAUAAUGAAAUGCAUUAUGAAAAAAGUUGAGAGUGAAUGGUGGGUCCUUUGGGAUUUGAGAUCAGCAACAGUUGCUUCAUAGGCUCUUGGAUGCAUUCUCCAUAAGAGAAGGAAGAAAAUGGAAAAGACACUGUGUGUUUUUCAAAUGUGUGCAUGCUAAUUGUCGAAACAUACAUGGCCAGGAGAUUGAACCGCAUUAAAAACGCUUGGCAGAACUGGGGAUUCUCUAUGGAGAGGCUCUUUCCUUUCCCAGCACUCCCUGCUCUAGUGAGUUGGAGCAUACCUGCCAUUUAAGGGUUAAUGUUCUGCGGUCUUUAACAGAACAACUUAUACAAAAAAAUUCCUAGUAGAGUAAAAGCGCUGUGGUUUUGCAAACCAAGAGCACUGGUUGUUAGCACUUACAUAAAAGAUCGGUAUGUUUUUAAAACUCACCAAUGAGCUGGCAAAUACUGUCUUCACUCUCACAUGAUGCCAACAGGGGAUGUUCCUUGAUAUCACCCUAAAAACAUUUUUAUUUCAGUUAAAUAUAGUGACUGAAGAAACCUAUCGAGUCUUUCCCCACAAAACACACAUACAGCAUUUUAUUCAUAUUAAAAAUGAAGUCAGUAGAGUGCAUUGAUGUUUUUUCUAGCUUCUAGAAGCAAUAUUAAGGUCUUGAUUGUCAUCAUAUAAGAUCCUAAUUAAUGUGCUUAAUUUACUAC
ensembl:lncRNA TAGAP-AS1 TAGAP antisense RNA 1